rnacentral:rRNA from 1 species
GCGGCAUGCCUGAUGCAUGCAAGCCGAACGCCCUGAUUUUCGCAAGAUUGAUCAGGGAGUGGCGAACGGCUGAGUAACGCGUAAGUAACCUAUCCCUAAGUGGGGGAUAACUUGCCGAAAGGCAGGCUAAUACCGCAUGUGCUGGUAAGCGUCAGUUUGUCAGCAAAGCUUUUGCGCUUGGGAGGGGCUUGCGUCUGAUUAGCUAGUUGGUAGGGUAACGGCCUACCAAGGCGAUGAUCAGUAGCUGGUCUGAGAGGACAACCAGCCAGACGGGGACUGAGAUACGGCCCUGACUCCUACGGGAGGCAGCAGCAAGGAAUUUUGCGCAAUGGGCGAAAGCCUGACGCAGCGACGCCGCGUGGGGGAUGACGGCCUUCGGGUUGUAAACCCCUUUUCAUGAGGAAGAAAUAUGACGGUACUCGUGGAAUAAGUCUUGGCUAACUACGUGCCAGCAGCCGC